CCUACGGGUGUCAGCAGUGGGGAAUAUUGGGCAAUGGGCGCAAGCCUGACGCAGCAACGCCGCGUGAAGGAAGAAGGCCUUCGGGUCGUAAACUUCUUUUCUCAGGGACGAAGAAUGUGACGGUUCCUGAGGAAUACGCUACGGCUAACUACGCGCCAGCAGCCGCCGUACUACGUGGGUGGCAAGUGUUAUCCGGAUUUCCUGGGUGUAAAGGGCGUGUCGGCGGGAAAGCAAGUCAGGUGGGAAAACCAGGGGCUCAACCUGUGGCCUGCAUUUGAAACUGUUUUGCUAGAGUGCUGGAGAGGCAGACGGAAUUCCUCGUGUAGCGGUGAAAUGCGUAGAUAUGAGGAGGAACACCAGUGGCGAAGGCGGUCUGCUGGACAGCAACUGACGCUGAGGCGCGAAAGCGUGGGGAGCAAACAGGAUUAGAUACCCCGGUAGUC
rnacentral:rRNA from 1 species